rnacentral:rRNA from 1 species
CCUACGGGAGGCAGCAGUGAGGAAUAUUGGUCAAUGGCCGGAAGGCUGAACCAGCCAAGUCGCGUGAGGGACGACUGCCCUAUGGGUUGUAAACUUCUUUUAUAAGGGAAGAAUAAAUGCUACGUGUAGCAUGAUGCCUGUACCUUAUGAAUAAGCAUCGGAUAACUCCGUGCCAGCAGCCGCGGUAAUACGGAGGAUGCGAGCGUUAUCCGGAUUUAUUGGGUUUAAAGGGUGCGGAGGUGGGUUUUUAAGUUAGUUGUGAAAACUUGGGGGUUAACCUUUGAUUUGCAUUUGAUACUGGAAGACUCGAGUUCAGGAGAGGUAGGCGGAAUACGUUGAGUAGCGGUGAAAUGCUUAGAUAUAACGAAGAACUCCGAUAGCGAAGGCAGCUUACCAGACUGCGACUGACGCUGAAGCACGAGAGCGUGGGUAGCAAACAGGAUUAGAUACCCGAGUAGUC